GCAAGUCGAGCGCAUCCUUCGGGAUGAGCGGCGGACGGGUUAGUAACGCGUGGGAACAUGCCCUUUUCUACGGAAUAGCCUUUGGAAACGAAGAGUAAUACCGUAUACGCCCUUCGGGGGAAAGAUUUAUCGGAGAUGGAUUGGCCCGCGUUAGAUUAGAUAGUUGGUGGGGUAACGGCCUACCAAGUCUACGAUCUAUAGCUGGUUUGAGAGGAUGAUC
rnacentral:rRNA from 1 species